rnacentral:piRNA from 1 species
UCAACUUUAGGUGUCAGUGUUUAGUCAGU